rnacentral:rRNA from 1 species
CCUACGGGAGGCAGCAGUAGGGAAUCUUGGGCAAUGGGCGCAAGCCUGACGCAGCAACGCCGCGUGAAGGAAGAAGGCUUUCGGGUUGUAAACUUCUUUUGAUAGGGAAGAGCAGAAGACGGUACCUCUCGAAUAAGCCACGGCUAACUACGUCCCAGCAGCCGCGGUAAUACGUAGGUGGCAAGCGUUGUCCGGAUUUACUGGGGGUAAAGGGCGUGUAGGCGGGCUGACAAGUCAGAUGUGAAAUCCGGGGGCUCAACCCGCGAACGGCAUUGGAAACUGUUGGUCUUGAGUAUAGGAGAGGCGGGCGGAAUUCCUGGUGUAGCGGUGAAAUGCGUAGAUAUUAGGAGGAACACCAGUGGCGAAGGCGACCUGCUGGACGACAACUGACGGUGAGGCGCGAAAGCGUGGGGAGCAAACAGGAUUAGAUACCCGAGUAGUC